AGACUUUGAUCCUGGCUCAGGACGAACGCUGGCGGCGUGCUUAACACGUGCAAGUCGAACGGGGUGUUUAUUUCGGUAAACACCAAGUGGCGAACGGGUGAGUAGCGCGUAAGCAAUCUACCUUCAAGAUGGGGACAACACUUCGAAAGGGGUGCUAAUACCGAAUGAAUGUAAGAGUAUCGCAUGAGACACUUACUAAAGGAGGCCUCUGACAUAAGCUUCCGCUUGAAGAUGAGCUUGCGUCUGAUUAGCUAGUUGGUGAGGGUAAAGGCCCACCAAGGCGACGAUCAGUAGCCGGUCUGAGAGGAUGAACGGCCACAUUGGGACUGAGACACGGCCCAGACUCCUACGGGAGGCAGCAGUGGGGAAUCUUCCGCAAUGGGCGAAAGCCUGACGGAGCAACGCCGCGUGAACGAUGAAGGUCUUAGGAUCGUAAAGUUCUGUUGUUAGGGACGAAGGGUAAGAAUCAUAAUAAGGUUUUUAUUUGACGGUACCUAACGAGGAAGCCACGGCUAACUACGUGCCAGCAGCCGCGGUAGUACGUAGGCGGCAAGCGUUGUCCGGAAUUAUUGGGCGUAAAGGGAGCGCAGGCGGGAAACUAAGCGGAUCUUAAAAGUGCGGGGCUCAACCCCGUGAUGGGGUCCGAACUGGUUUUCUUGAGUGCAGGAGAGGAAAGCGGAAUUCCCAGUGUAGCGGUGAAAUGCGUAGAUAUUGGGAAGAACACCAGUGGCGAAGGCGGCUUUCUGGACUGUAACUGACGCUGAGGCUCGAAAGCUAGGGUAGCGAACGGGAUUAGAUACCCCGGUAGUCCUAGCCGUAAACGAUGGAUACUAGGUGUGGGAGGUAUCGACCCCUUCCGUGCCGGAGUUAACGCAAUAAGUAUCCCGCCUGGGGAGUACGGCCGCAAGGUUGCAACUCAAAUGAAUUGA
rnacentral:rRNA from 1 species